rnacentral:rRNA from 1 species
ACUCCUACGGGAGGCAGCAGUGGGAAUAUUGCACAAUGGGCGCAAGCCUGAUGCAGCCAUGCCGCGUGUAUGAAGAAGGCCUUCGGGUUGUAAAGUACUUUCAGUCAGUGAGGAAGGGCGGUACGUUAAUAGCGUGCUCGUUUGACGUUAGCUGCAGAGAAGCACCGGCUAACUCCGUGCCAGCAGCCGCGGUAAUACGGAGGGUGCGAGCGUUAAUCGGAAUUACUGGGCGUAAAGCGCAUGCAGGUGGUUUUGUUAAGUCAGAUGUGAAAGCCCGGGG